rnacentral:rRNA from 1 species
GUUGUCCGGAUUUAUUGGGCGUAAAGCGAGCGCAGGCGGUUAGAUAAGUCUGAAGUUAAAGGCUGUGGCUUAACCAUAGUACGCUUUGGAAACUGUUUAACUUGUGUGCAGAAGGGGAGAGUGGAAUUCCAUGUGUAGCGGUGAAAUGCGUAGAUAUAUGGAGGAACACCGGUGGCGAAAGCGGCUCUCUGGUCUGUAACUGACGCUGAGGCUCGAAAGCGUGGGGAGCAAAUAGGAUUAGAUACCCUGGUAGUCCACGCCGUAAACGAUGAGUGCUAGGUGUUGGGUCCUUUCCGGGACUCAGUGCCGUAGCUAACGCAUUAAGCACUCCGCCUGGGGAGUACGACCGCAAGGUUGAAACUCAAAGGAAUUGACGGGGGCCCGCACAAG